rnacentral:rRNA from 1 species
GGAGUUUGGACCGUGUCUCAGUUCCAAUGUGGGGGACCUUCCUCUCAGAACCCCUACUGAUCGUCGGCUUGGUGGGCCGUUACCCCGCCAACAACCUAAUCAGACGCAUCCCCAUCCUAUACCGGUAAACCUUUGGUAUUCUUCAGAUGUCCUCUAAAUAUAACAUAGGGGAUUAAUCCGACUUUCGCCGGGCUAUGCCCUACUAAGGGGAAGGUUGGAUACGCGUUACUCACCCGUGCGCCGGUCGCCAUCAAUCUGUGCAAGCACAGAUCAUGCUGCCCCUCGACUUGCAUGUGUUAAGCCUGUAGCUAGCGUUCAUC